rnacentral:rRNA from 1 species
GAUGAACGCUGGCGGCGUGCCUAAUACAUGCAAGUCGAGCGAAUGGAUUAAGAGCUUGCUCUUAUGAAGUUAGCGGCGGACGGGUGAGUAACACGUGGGUAACCUGCCCAUAAGACUGGGAUAACUCCGGGAAACCGGGGCUAAUACCGGAUAACAUUUUGAACCGCAUGGUUCGAAAUUGAAGGGCGGCUUCGGCUGUCACUGAUGGAUGGACCCGCGUCGCAUUAGCUAGUUUGGGAGGUAACGGCUCACCAAGGCAACGAUGCGUAGCCGACCUGAGAGGGUGAUCGGCCACACUGGGACGGAGACACGGCCCAGACUCCUACGGGAGGCAGCAGUAGGGAAUCUUCCGCAAUGGACGAAAGUCUGACGGAGCAACGCCGCGUGAGUGAUGAAGGCUUUCGGGUCGUAAAACUCUGUUGUUAGGGAAGAACAAGUGCUAGUUGAAUAAGCUGGCACCUUGACGGUACCUAACCAGAAAGCCACGGCUAACUACGUGCCAGCAGCCGCAGUAA